UACGUAGGGGGCGAGCGUUGUCCGGAUUUAUUGGGCGUAAAGAGCUCGUAGGCGGCUUAGCAAGUCAAAUGUGAAAACUGCAGGCUCAACCUGCAGCUGUCAUUUGAUACUGCUAUGGCUAGAGUCUUGCAGGGGAUCACGGAAUUCCUGGUGUAGCGGUGAAAUGCGCAGAUAUCAGGAAGAACACCGGUGGCGAAGGCGGUGAUCUGGGCAAGUACUGACGCUGAGGAGCGAAAGCGUGGGUAGCGAACAGG
rnacentral:rRNA from 1 species